UGGGGAAUAUUGGACAAUGGGGGCAACCCUGAUCCAGCAAUGCCGCGUGUGUGAAGAAGGCCUGCGGGUUGUAAAGCACUUUCAGUAGGGAAGAAAACCUGUGGGUUAAUACCCCACAGGCUUGACGUCACCUACAGAAGAAGCACCGGCUAACUCCGUGCCAGCAGCCGCGGUAAUACGGAGGGUGCGAGCGUUAAUCGGAAUUACUGGGCGUAAAGCGCGCGUAGGCGGUUUGGUAAGUCGGAUGUGAAAUCCCCGGGCUUAACCUGGGAAUUGCAUUCGAUACUGCCUGACUAGAGUAUGGUAGAGGGUAGUGGAAUUCCUGGUGUAGCGGUGAAAUGCGUAGAUAUCAGGAGGAACACCAGUGGCGAAGGCGGCUACCUGGACCAAUACUGACGCUGAGGUGCGAAAGCGUGGGGAGCAAACAGGAUUAGAUACCCCGGUAGUCC
rnacentral:rRNA from 1 species